GGCGACCUGAGGAUGAGCCUUCAAGUGUUGUGUGUGCUGGUCCUGUUUCUCUGUCCGAGCACUGAUGAGAUGGUUGUCGACAAAAAAAGAAUGUCGAGAUGGCAUUCAUAUCGGAUGGAAAAAGGAGAAAAUCUCAUCAUCCGGAACUUCAAAAGGCAUUCAGAUGGGACAUUCGGCAGCGACUUGACCCAAUACCUUGAUAAAAUGAAAGCGAAAAAUUUUGUAGAAUGGCUGAGCAGCACCAAACAACAAUGCUGCCAUAAUGAACUGCUCGGCCUUGCAGCAGAAGUCUAAUACAGCUCAGAUUACAUUUGCAGUAUGCUUGAUACUGCUUUACGUCAUCCAGCUGCAUGAAAGAAGAUGAAUCCUCUGCACCAACAUAGAAUAUUGUUGUGAGUUUAUUUAUGCUAUAUAUAUUUUUUAAUUAAAGGUGCAUUUCGCACAUUGCUGUUUCCAAAUGUUGAAGAAAAAAAUGUAAUGUGUUUUUUAUAUGAAUACUUUUUGUUUUGAAAUACACGUCGACCGACUUAAUGUUUUUUCAAUUGUAAUCAUGUUGAAAUACUGACCACUGAUUCUGUUUUUGCCACUUUUGAUUUUUAAACUUUUUUCAAACUUUUUUUCUGAAUGCAUUGUGGCUUUUACCUGUAUGCCGUUGUGAUGCACACAAUGACAAUAAUUAAAAGGUUAAAUAAUGUGUUUUUAUAUUGACAUUGAUUAUAAGUACUGUCUUUUUAAUAGCUUAGUACCGAAUGAAUGAAUAGACAAGGCAGUAGUGAUGGCACAUUUGAUGCAUGCACAGGGAUGACCAGGCGUGGGUGCUGUUGUUCAGCAAAUCAGAAUAAAACAAGCAGCCAAACAUCUCUCAAUGCAGGCUGAUAAAGGCAAUGGGUGUGAAGCAUAGACUGUGGUGUGAAGGCAUGCAUCUGCUUUGUUUGCUUUUACAGUGGAUGCUGUAUAUAGCGUGCACUUUGUUCACACACAUUUACAUUGUUGCACAAUGAGGUUAUGCAAUUAGGCUGUCAGAAAAAUAUAGUAAGUAACAGAGUUAACAUUGUAUUGGAUAGUAGGGCAGGUGUAUUUUAGAUAGGUGGAGAGAAACUGUUGUAACUGCUUGGGAUUUGUUAUGUAUAUGUGUGUGCUGGUAAUGGAUUGGUGGGAGGUUAGUUAUGUCUGCCUCAUUGAGGAAUGUAAUGUAUGGGGGUGAAGCUGUGUUGGCUCUUGGCUUCUGGCCAUAUAGCCAUGAUGGAGAGCUCCCUCUUUGGG